rnacentral:rRNA from 1 species
AUUGAACGCUGGCGGCAGGCCUAACACAUGCAAGUCGAGCGGAUGAAGGGAGCUUGCUCCUGGAUUCAGCGGCGGACGGGUGAGUAAUGCCUAGGAAUCUGCCUGGUAGUGGGGGAUAACGUCCGGAAACGGGCGCUAAUACCGCAUACGUCCUGAGGGAGAAAGUGGGGGAUCUUCGGACCUCACGCUAUCAGAUGAGCCUAGGUCGGAUUAGCUAGUUGGUGGGGUAAAGGCCUACCAAGGCGACGAUCCGUAACUGGUCGGAGAGGAUGAUCAGUCACACUGGAGCUGAGACACGGUCCAGGCUCCUACGGGCGGCCGCAGUGGGGAAUAUUGGACGCUGGGCGGAAGCCUGAUCCAGCCAUGCAGCGUGUGUGAAGAAGGUCUUCGGAUUGUAAAGCACUUUACGUUGGGAGGAAGGGCAGUAAGCUAAUACCUGCUGUUUUGACGUUACCAACAGAAUAAGCACCGGCUAACUUCGUG